rnacentral:rRNA from 1 species
GAACGAACGCUGGCGGCAUGCCUAACACAUGCAAGUCGAACGAGACCUUCGGGUCUAGUGGCGCACGGGUGCGUAACGCGUGGGAACCUGCCCUUAGGUUCGGAAUAACUCCCCGAAAGGGGUGCUAAUACCGGAUAAUGUCUUCGGACCAAAGAUUUAUCGCCUUUGGAUGGGCCCGCGUUGGAUUAGCUAGUUGGUAGGGUAAAAGCCUACCAAGGCGACGAUCCAUAGCUGGUCUGAGGGGAUGAUCAGCCACACUGGGACUGAGACACGGCCCAGACUCCUACGGGAGGCAGCAGUGGGGAAUAUUGGACAAUGGGCGAAAGCCUGAUCCAGCAAUGCCGCGUGAGUGAUGAAGGCCUUAGGGUUGUAAAGCUCUUUUACCCGGGAUGAUAAUGACAGUACCGGGAGAAUAAGCUCCGGCUAACUCCGUG